GUUUGGGAAUGCUGCUCAAAAUGGGAGGUAAAUUUCUUCUAAAGCUAAAUACCGGCCAGAGACCGAUAGCGCACAAGUAGAGUGAUCGAAAGAUGAAAAGCACUUUGAAAAGAGGGUUAAAAAGUACGUGAAAUUGUUGAAAGGGAAGCGCCUGUGACCAGACUUGCGCCCCGCGGACCACCCGGCGUUCUCGCCGGUGCACUCUGCGGUGCGCAGGCCAGCAUCGGUUCUCCCAGGGGGACAAAGGCCGCGGGAACGUAGCUCCUUCGGGAGUGUUAUAGCCCGCGGCGGCAUGCCCCUGGGGGGACCGAGGACCGCGCUUCGGCAAGGAUGCUGGCGUAAUGGUCACCAGCGACCCGUCUU
rnacentral:rRNA from 1 species